rnacentral:lncRNA from 1 species
AAAAAAUCAUGUGGCAACAAGUACCGCAGCCCAUGGCGUUACACUGUUGGUUCGUCCGCCUGCCUCCGUACCCGUAACCGAGCAUGCCGAAUGGUAUGCUACUACUCUCAUAUUCUCCAAAAGGGAUAUCGCCGGCUCUUCUGCCGCGACCUGGAUGAGGCUACCCACUAUGCCUCCGCCCCCGCCAAGCUGACCCUGCUGUCAUGGAGACGUCCGCUUCGUUGUUGUCGAGAGCCAACCAACUGACUGCAGCCGAGUGACCCCGUUUCACGCGGUAUGUUCCCUGUGCCUCCCGCGACCGAGAACAAGAUCUUCUCGUCUACUGCGUUCAUUUCUCCUGUAGCAGCAGCCAAAAGCGAGACCUUCACCUCACCCCCAACAUGCACGGUCUAGGCCAUCGCCACGGCAUGUGCCGCGAGCGCGAGGCAGAGCAGGGGGAGUGAUGUGACAAUGCUAGAGUGCUUCUUGGUAAUGUUGAGCUCUAGGUCCUACUCGCUCUCUCGUGUUAUUGUGUGUGUGAGAACAUAUGCUUCUGCUGAUGCACUUGUGCUAUAAAUUACUGCUCCACGG